GACGAACGCUGGCGGCGUGCCUAAUACAUGCAAGUAGAACGCAGUUCCGAACGGGUGAGAAUCGCGUAGGUAACUGCCUCAUAGCGGGGGAUAACUAUUGGAAACGAUAGCUAAUACCGCAUACUGUGAGAUGGACCUGCGUUGUAUUAGCUAGUUGGUGAGGUAAAGGGUCAACAAGGCGACGAUACAGAGCCGGCCUGAGAGGGUGGACGGCCAAAAUGGGAAUGGGGAACGGCCCAGAAUCCUACUGGAGGGAGCAGGAGGGGAACUUUGGCAAUGGACGGAAGUCUGACCGAACAACGGCGCGGGGGUGGAGGAGGGUUUCGGGUCGUAAAAGUACGUUGUUAGAGAAGCGGUAACUAACGAGAAAGGGACGGCUAACUACGUGCCAGCAGCCGCGGUAAUUC
rnacentral:rRNA from 1 species